rnacentral:rRNA from 1 species
UACGGGAGGCAGCAGUGGGGAAUAUUGCACAAUGGGCGCAAGCCUGAUGCAGCCAUGCCGCGUGUGUGAAGAAGGCCUUCGGGUUGUAAAGCACUUUCAGCGAGGAGGAAGGGUUCAGUGUUAAUAGCACUGUUCAUUGACGUUACUCGCAGAAGAAGCA